CUGCAUAGCUCAGUCAGUAGAGCACGAGACUCUUAAUCUCAAGGUCAUGGGUUCGAGCACUAUGUCGGGUGAAAGA